rnacentral:rRNA from 1 species
UACGGAGGGUGCAAGCGUUAUCCGGAUUUACUGGGUUUAAAGGGUGCGUAGGUGGAUAAGUAAGUCAGUGGUGAAAUCUCAGAGCUUAACUCUGAAACUGCCAUUGAUACUAUUUAUCUUGAAUAUUGCGGAGGUAAGCGGAAUAUGUCAUGUAGCGGUGAAAUGCUUAGAUAUGACAUAGAACACCCAUUGCGAAGGCAGCUUACUACACAUAUAUUGACACUGAUGCACGAAAGCGUGGGGAU